GGGAUGCCUGACAGCAACGCUGCUUGUACCGUGUCCCAUGUGCUUGCACCUGCCUCCUGAACAUCUUCUGCUUGGUCGGCUGCCCCUGCUGUCCCUGCAUGUACCGAGAAGACUCCGUGUCAGCCUUUGUGUUACUUCUAUGAAAGCUGCAGCUGUGCUGGGUGCUGGGUGGUAAUCGGUAGGUCUACCUGGGGCUGAGUCAGUGUCGAGGAUGGUGUGGAUUAUGAUUGGACCCCAAAACACAAUGCCAUCCAGCCCAGUUGUUACCAGCGUCCACACAAUUCCCAGGUACCUGGCACGCAACACCAGACCAGUUGGCGUCUUGGCCAUGGAAUUUAUUUAAUUUUCCCAUGGUGACCAAUGCUGUAGUCACGGGGGAAAGGUAGUCAAGCAGAGCAUAAACACCAUUUGGGCCACUCAAAGCCACAGAUACACUUGGCAGCCACCCACCAGAUACACCAGUUCUUGUAGAAGGGCUGACUGGACUGCGGCUCCUCAGUUUGUGAGAUCCUCAGCUUCGUGACCAUCUGCUCCUCCCCUUCCACUGGCGCCGGUUUAGCCCCUGACUGCUUAAACUUCCUGCAUGUCCCACCUCGUAACGAUGGGAUCUCACAAAUGUGAGCGUCCAACCUUCAAUGAUAGGAUCUCAUCGUCAGGAACUCUUCCAUGUCACCAAUGAUGAUGGGUCCUCUUGGUUUUUUGCGCAGAGAGCGACAUCAAGAGCCUCAGGAGCGUGUGAGGAACAUCCAAUCCUAUAAGCCUCUCGGCAACGCCUCCAAGGCAUCUCAGUGCAAGCAAAACAUUGCAACAUUGCAGAAAAAUGCACGCAGAGUUGGGGCAUUGAAGUGCUUCAGGAUUUGCGCCAGUUUUUGCGCUGGCAAUCCAUGCUGGUGGAGGAAGUGCAAGAAUCGAGAACGCUGGAGAGCAAAAAUUCAGGUAUUGCUUGAAGUACCUAGUCCUUAAGGACUGUAGUAAUAUUAACAUCCACUUUUGCUCUAUCCUUUAAGGCAUUCACCUGUCGAUCAGCCACUGGCGCUCGUCGGGGGCGAGAAAGGAGGCUUGUUCAGGGCUGUGGGCCAGCAAACACCAG
rnacentral:lncRNA from 1 species